AACCCUUUUGAUCUUUCUUUCUUGAUUCUUGAAGAAGUCAAGAACUUUUUUUGAUCCCUCAACUAAUCAAGAACAACAAUAAACAAGAAGUGGUUAUAACUAACUUCCAACAACUUGAAAGGAAGAAGAUGAAAUCAGCAACAACUUGGUGCCAACCCUUGACACCAAGGAAGGGAUGCUGCCCACCUCUCUUCCAGCUCCAAGAGGGAUGCCUAGAGAGAGAGGGCAUGGGCUAGAGAGAGAAAGAGGAGGGGAGGCAUUGGGCAUAGUAAGGGUGGUGGCAAGGAUGAGGGGAGGUG
rnacentral:lncRNA from 1 species